rnacentral:rRNA from 1 species
AUUGAACGCUGGCGGCAUGCUUUACACAUGCAAGUCGGACGAGUGGCGAACGGGUGAGUAACAUAUCGGAACGUACCGAGUAAUGGGGGAUAACUAAUCGAAAGAUUAGCUAAUACUGCAUAUUAUUCGAGCGGCCGACAGGUGAUUAGCUGGUUGGUGGGGUAAAGGACUACAAAGGCGACGAUCGGUAGCGGGUCUGAGAGGAUGAUCGGCCACACUGGGACUGAGACACGGCCCAGACUCCUACGUGAGGCAGCAGUAGGGAAUUUUGGACAAUGGACGCAAGCCUGAUCAAGCCAUGCCGCGUGACUGAAGAAGGCCUUCGGGUUGUAAAGGACUGUGGUCAGAGAAGCGGUACCUAAAGAAUAAGCACCGGAUAACUACGUGCCAGCAGCCGCGGUAAUUC